rnacentral:rRNA from 1 species
GAACCUAUUGGUAUCCUGAGUACGGCGGGGCACGUGGAACCUUGUCGGAAUCUGCCGGGACCAUCCGGUAAGCCUAAAUACUCCUUAAUGACCGAUAGUGAACCAGUACAGUGAUGGAAAGGUGAAAAGAACCGCUGGCGCGGAGUGAAAUAGAACCUGAAACCGUAUGCUUACAAAAAGUCAGAGCACAUUUAUGUGUGAUGGCGUGCCUAUUGAAGAAUGAACCGGCGAGUUACGAUGUUGUGCGAGGUUAAAUCGAAAAGAUGGAGCCGAAGCGAAAGCGAGUCUUAAUAGGGCGAAUUAGUUCAAUGUCGUAGACCCGAAGCCGUUGUGAUCUUGCCAUGGCCAGGUUGAAGGUUGGGUGAUACCAACUGGAGGACCGCACCGACCCCCGUUGAAACGUUGGCGGAUGAGCUGUGGCAAGCGGAGAAAUUCCAAACGAACACGGCGAUAGCUGGUUCUCCCCGAAAUAGCUUUAGGGCUAGCGUUGUACGAAUCUCUGUGGAGGUAGAGCACUGAAAUCGUGAUGGCCACAUCCCGUGGUACUGAUCGGUAUCAAACUCCGAAUGCCAUAGAUGAAUAUACAGCAGUCAGACUGUGGGUGAUAAGGUCCAUGGUCAAAAGGGAAACAGCCCAGAUCAUCAGUUAAGGUCCCUAAAUUUAUGCUAAGUGGAAAACGAGGUGGAAUUGCGUGAACAGCUAGGAGGUUAGCUCAGAAGCAGCUAUCCUUCAAAGAGUGCGUAACAGCUCACUAGUCGAGUGAUUCUGCGCGGAAAAUUUACCGGGGCUAAGCAUAAUACCGAAACUAUGGCAAUACAUUUGUAUUGGGUAGGGGAGCGUUCUGAUCAGCGUUGAAGGUAUACCGUAAGGAGUGCUGGAGCGUUCAGAAGUGAGAAUGCCGGUGUAAGUAGCGAGAAAUAUGUGAGAAUCAUAUUCACCGAUUGACCAAGGUUUCCAGGGGAAGGUUCGUCCGCCCUGGGUAAGUCGGGACCUAAGAUGAGGCCGACAGGCGUAGUCGAUGGACAACAGGUUGAUAUUCCUGUACCUGCUAUAUUAGUGAUGGAGUGACAGAUGAGGUUAUUAUGAGCCGGUUAUUGGAUUCCGGUUCAAGCUUAGGAGCUGUCAGGUAGGCAAAUCCGCCUGAUAAAGCAAAGAAGCGAUAACGAGCGAACGAGUGAUCUAGUAGUGAAGUCAUAUAUGCCUUGUCUCAAGAAAAGCUUCUAAACUUAUAAUAUGGUAGCCCGUACCAAAACCGACACAGGUGGUCAAGGCGAGUAGCCUAAGGUGAGCGAGAGAAUUGUUGCCAAGGAACUCUGCAAAAUUGUCCCGUACGUUCGCAAGAAGGGACGCUCGAAAGAGCCACAGCAAAGAGGCCCAAGCGACUGUUUAUCUAAAACACAGCUCUCUGCUAAGUCGAAAGACGAUGUAUAGGGGGUGACUCCUGCCCGGUGCUGGAAGGUCAAGGGGAUUUGUUAGGCGCAAGCCGAAGCUUUGAACCGAAGCCCCAGUGAACGGCGGCCGUAACUAUAACGGUCCUAAGGUAGCGAAAUUCCUUGUCAGGUAAGUUCUGACCC